ensembl:lncRNA
AACCUCGGGUCGCUGACAGCCCAGAUGCUUUGCAGCGCCCUGUGACUCCCGCCCUGUGACUCCCGGUGACACCCACAGGCCCUGUUCCACAAGGCCAGGCAACUAGAUUUUCCUUGAGACCACCUGGUUUAGGCACAGUCUCCAUAAGCAGCACCUCCAUGGGAGCGAUAGGUGGGGAGGAGUCGAAGAGAUGUGGAAAGAAGGAAUAAAGAGCUAGUAUCUGGCAUACCUUGGAUGAGAGAAAAAUGUUCUGAGUUUUUGAAAGGGUGCAGGCCAAGCCAAUGGCUCUGAAACCAGGAAAGAACAAACUGCCUGGGAAUGAGAUUUCAGGCUUUAUAAGAAAUCACAAGAUGAAUAAGGCAAAUAAGAUGAUCUUUUUAAAAUCCACAAGAUCUUCCUAAGACAGCUCUGUCCCUACUGAAGAUUCAGCCCUGUCACCCACCCGUCUCUCCUGGCUUCCCCUUCAUUUGGUUGUCUCCUAAGUAUGGUGACUACAGACACCACCUAAGAAAAGCAUUUAUUUUACAGAAGUUAUAGCUAAGACAACAGGUCUCUACUAGUGCUAUGAGGAAUGCCAUGGACGAAAAAUGGGUCCUAUGAGCUGGAAGAAUGCUGACUUUUCUUUCUCCUUUCUGGGGUUUUCAAUGCACACUAGUAUAGAGAGGCUGUUAGAAUGUCUGCAGCAAAGAAAUGUGAAUCACAAGCAAAGAAAUCUUCUCUGGCUAACUUGAGCAAAAGGCGAUCAUACCUACCCAGCAAGCCCUUGGUAAAGAAGAUAGAUAGGAGAGAUGGCAGCACUUAUGUAUUUUGACUGUCACCUCUGGCCCUUGGGACAGAAAACAAGUGGUCCAGCAUGGGUCCAGCGUCGUCAUGUAGCCAUGGGGAGCUUCCCUGGGCAGAGCAGGACUCUGAGGGAAGGUGCAACAGGAAGGACUGAUCAAGGGCCGCAAGAGGAAAAGGCAUGUGGAGCAAAAGGAAUCCACCCUAGAUGGAGCAGAGAGCAGAGGGUUGAAGAAAAUAAGAAGAGGCUGAGGGGGCAGGCAGGAGCCAGAUACCACAGGUAUGAGUCCACGCCUUGAUUUGCUGGGCACAGCCUCUGUGUAUAUCCGUUGCCCUGGCAUAAUUUGUGCUGCACUCAUUUUACCUUUAGAAAUGUCCUUCUCGAGAUGAUAACAGUCUUCUUGCAUCUGAGCCACGAUUUGGAUUGCAUCAUACCCUGAGGAUGACAGGCAGUCCUCUGCAGGGUUUUUAGCUAGAGUGUUAGGUCUCAUUUUUAUUAUACUCUAGAACAGCCUUGCUAGCUUCGGGGACUAGAGAUAUUGCUGAAAGACAGAAAAAACCAACAAACAAAAAAAAAGCUGUUAAGGCUACUGGGCUUCCCUAGCAGCUCAGUGAUAAAGAAUCUGCCUGCCAAUGCAAGAGACAUGGGUUCAAUCCCUGGGUCAGGAAAGAUCCCCUGGAGAAGAAAAUGGCAACCCACUCCAGUAUUCUUGCCUGGAGAAUUACAUGCACAGAGGAGCCUGGGAAGCUGCAGUCCAUGGGGUCACAAAGAGUCAGAUAUGGCUACUAAACAGCAGCAGCAGCAGCAACUAAAGACCAGCAGCAGCAAGAUGCUUGCUUAUUCUAUAUAAAGGAGAAAAAAAAAAAUAGGGGUGGAAAGAGAACUGCCAGGGGCUUCAAAACCUAACAGUAUCUUUGUGUGAAACUUCAAGCCCAUCACCUUAAGGUGGCGCCUAGGAUGGCCACACUCAGCCACGCCAGGGGUUUUAUUGUUUGCUUCCCACCCACCCCCACCUUCCCAAUCCUCCCAACUCCCAUCUCCUAACCCCUCUCCUCUUCCUAGCCUCUCAGCCUCCCAUAUCCACCCUAGAUAAAAAUCCACCUAGCAGAGGACAACCAUGGAAGGGGGCAGGCAGCCAAUAGGGUCCUUUAUUGCCUUCAGAUGCCUUGCUCUGUUUUCAGACCUGGCACUGAAGAGCAGCAGCAUUCCACACAGACACCAGUCCUUCAGAGUCACACAGCCUGUCCAUCUUGACCCAGGAUUUCCCUCUGCAAGAAGCCAGAGUCUAGUUGGUAGGACAGAGGUGCCAGUGCUUGAAAUUAUUCUGAGCAGAGGUUUCCUGCAGCAUUAAAAAAUCAAUUUCUCCCAGUUUCUCGUGGCCUUUCUAACACUCAGUAAAGAGCCCCAUCAGCUGUCUCAAAGAAUGCUUCACUUCCUUUCUUUCAGAACUUUCUAAAUAUCAGGGAAAUUUCUCAAAAAGAUUCUUCUUUUUAUGACUUUAUCCAAAGGAUUAUUUGUUUUCUCUAACCAUAUCCACAAACCCUGUUCUUAAGAAUUUGUUACACUACAGUAUUCCUUGUUACACCAAGCACUACUAAAAAGGAUACAUUACUAAUUUUCCAUCUUUAAUUUAAAAUUCUUUUCUUUUUCAAGCAUAAAGCUGAAGUAGUCCCUGU